rnacentral:misc_RNA from 1 species
GAUGAGAACGUAGCGAAAUGCGAUACUUGGUGUGAAUUGCAGAAUCCCGUGAACCAUCGAGUCUUUGAACGCAAGUUGCGCCCGAAGCCACUAGGCCGAGGGCACGCCUGCCUGGGCGUCACACGCCGUUGCCCCCCCAUCUACUCCUUCGGGAUUGCGGGGGGGCGGAUGAUGGCCUCCCGUGCGCCUAGCCGCGCGGUUGGCAUAAAUACCAAGUCCUCGGCGACGCACGCCACGACAAUCGGUGGUUGCGAAACCUCGGUUGCCCGUCGUGUGCGUUCGUCGCGCAUCGAGGGCUCGAAAAAAUGCUCGGCUCCGGCUGGGCUUUCAACGCGACCCCAGGUCAGGCGGGGUUACCCGCUGAAUUUAAGCAUAUCAAUAAGCGGAGGGA